AUACUUACCUGGCGUAUUGGAUACCGUGAACAUGCAUGCGGUUACCCCAGGGCGAGGCUUCUCCAUUGCUCUGCGGAGUGGUUGACCCUUGCGAUUAUUUUUUCAAUAAAAAAAUCAUAAUAAAAAAAAUUGUAUACCC
rnacentral:snRNA from 9 species